rnacentral:lncRNA from 1 species
UAUUAAUGGAUUAAUAUUACUUCUAUAUAUACAUAUAUACAUAUAUACACACACACAAUUUUUAAAAAGAGAAUUAAAGUAGAGCUGGGGCAAUUGUGGAACACACCUUCAACCUCAGGCAGAUUUCUGCGUUCAAGGUCACCCUGACUUACAAGUCAGCUAGGGCUAGAGAAAUCAUAUAUCAGAAAAAAAACGAAAAAAAUAAUAGAAAGACAGAAAGACAGACAGACAGACAGAAAGAAAGAAAGAGAGAGAGAGAAAGAGAGAGAGAGA